UAGGGAAUCUUCCGCAAUGGGCGAAAGCCUGACGGAGCAACGCCGCGUGAGUGAUGAAGGUCUUCGGAUCGUAAAACUCUGUUAUUAGGGAAGAACAAAUGUGUAAGUAACUAUGCACGUCUUGACGGUACCUAAUCAGAAAGCCACGGCUAACUACGUGCCAGCAGCCGCGGUAAUACGUAGGUGGCAAGCGUUAUCCGGAAUUAUUGGGCGUAAAGCGCGCGUAGGCGGUUUUUUAAGUCUGAUGUGAAAGCCCACGGCUCAACCGUGGAGGGUCAUUGGAAACUGGAAAACUUGAGUGCAGAAGAGGAAAGUGGAAUUCCAUGUGUAGCGGUGAAAUGCGCAGAGAUAUGGAGGAACACCAGUGGCGAAGGUGACUUUCUGGUCUAUAACUGACGCUGAUGUGCGAAAGCGUGGGGAUCAAACAGG
rnacentral:rRNA from 1 species